rnacentral:rRNA from 1 species
AGAGUUUGAUCCUGGCUCAGAACGAACGCUGGCGGCAUGCCUAACACAUGCAAGUCGAACGGGCUCCUGGUUUCGGCCAGGUGAGAGUGGCGGACGGGUGAGUAACGCGUGGGAACCUGCCCAGUGGUGGGGGAUAACUGCGGGAAACUGCAGCUAAUACCGCAUGAGCCCGAGAGGGGAAAGAUUUAUCGCCAUUGGAGGGGCCCGCGUUCGAUUAGGUAGUUGGUGGGGUAAUGGCCUACCAAGCCGACGAUCGAUAGCUGGUCUGAGAGGAUGAUCAGCCACACUGGGACUGAGAUACGGCCCAGACUCCUACGGGAGGCAGCAGUGGGGAAUAUUGGACAAUGGGGGCAACCCUGAUCCAGCAAUGCCGCGUGAGUGAUGAAGGCCUUCGGGUUGUAAAGCUCUUUUGCCAGGGACGAUGAUGACGGUACCUGGAGAAUAAGCCCCGGCUAACUUCGUGCCAGCAGCCGCGGUAAUACGAAGGGGGCAAGCGUUGUUCGGAAUUACUGGGCGUAAAGGGCGCGUAGGCGGCCGAUCAAGUCAGGCGUGAAAUUCCCGGGCUCAACCUGGGGGCUGCGCUUGAUACUGAUUGGCUUGAAUGCGGGAGAGGAUAGUGGAAUUCCCAGUGUAGAGGUGAAAUUCGUAGAUAUUGGGAAGAACACCGGUGGCGAAGGCGGCUAUCUGGCCCGUUAUUGACGCUGAGGCGCGAAAGCGUGGGGAGCAAACAGG